AGUUGGUGUUGUGAAUU
rnacentral:miRNA from 1 species